UGCGUAGGCGGCGCUAUAAGUCAGAGGUGAAAGGCCACAGCUUAACUGUGGGACCGCCUUUGAUACUGUAGUGCUUGAAUUAGGUUGAGGUCGGCGGAAUGUGACAUGUAGCGGUGAAAUGCUUAGAUAUGUCAUAGAACACCAAUUGCGAAGGCAGCUGACUAGACCUUAAUUGACGCUGAGGCACGAAAGCGUGGGGAGCGAACAGGAUUAGAUACCCUGGUAGUCC
rnacentral:rRNA from 1 species